rnacentral:rRNA from 1 species
GACGAACGCUGGCGGCGUGCUUAACACAUGCAAGUCGAACGGAAAGGCCCUGCUUUUGUGGGGUGCUCGAGUGGCGAACGGGUGAGUAACACGUGAGUAACCUGCCCUUGACUUUGGGAUAACUUCAGGAAACUGGGGCUAAUACCGGAUAGGAGCUCCUGCUGCAUGGUGGGGGUUGGAAAGUUUCGGCGGUUGGGGAUGGACUCGCGGCUUAUCAGCUUGUUGGUGGGGUAGUGGCUUACCAAGGCUUUGACGGGUAGCCGGCCUGGGAGGGUGACCGGCCACAGGGGACUGGGGGAGGGGCCCAGACCCCAACGGGGGGGAGGGGGGGGGAAUUUUGCAAAAGGGGCGGAGGGCGGAUGGAGCACCCCCGGGUGGGGGAGGUCGGUUUUCGGGUGGGAACCCGUUUUCCCGUGGGAGGGAGCGUGAGGAAGGGAAAUGGUAAAAGAGCCACGGGUAAAUUCGGG